rnacentral:rRNA from 1 species
UUGGUGGGGUAGUGGCCUACCAAGGCAAUGAUGGGUAGCCGGUUGAGAGACCGACCGGCCAGAUUGGGACUGAGACACGGCCCAGACUCCUACGGGAGGCAGCAGUGGGGAAUCUUGCACAAUGGGCGAAAGCCUGAUGCAGCGACGCCGCGUGCGGGAUGAAGGCCUUCGGGUUGUAAACCGCUUUCAGCAGGGACGAGGCCGCAAGGUGACGGUACCUGCAGAAGAAGCCCCGGGCUAACUACGUGCCAGCAGCCGCGGUAAAU